UUUUUUUUUUUUUAUUCUAUCAUAUUUAAUGUUCCAAAUAGAUUUUUAAAAGUAGUUGAGUGCAUAUUACAUUUAGUGUCAGAAGAUACCAUGUAUAUCUAAGAGGCAUUUAGCUAUUAUAAAUUAUUUUGAUGACUUAAAAAAUGUUAAUACUGAGUUGUAUAUUUAAAAUAAAUUUUAUUAGUUUAAUUAAAAAAAAAAAAAGAAGAAAAGCUGGGAUAAAUAUCUUCCCUGGCUACAAUGAUUCCAAUAUGAUAUUUGAGGCACAGUUCCUUUGUGGCACUUAAAUCCUUAGACUACACAGGUAAAAAUAUGAGAAUACAUAAAGAUAGCCUCAAGUUACUUUCUACCUUGAUUCAGUUUGUUUUUGAACCUAAAGCUUACUCAUUUGUGUGCAGAGCAUACAUUUGAUGUUAUACCAGUAGCAUCCAACCCCUUGGUUUUGUAUCUCAAAACAUUUAAAUGGAAUUUUCACAUGUCACUGAGCUAGCUAUUUAUGUCAAUUCGCUGAGUUUGUAGAUUGCCUAGUAGUCACUAUGUUUGAGAGAAUCUGUGAAGAUGACUCAACCAUGUGCUUGUGCUGAAGUAGUUGAUGUCCCAGGCAACAGGUGUCAAGGAAGAUCAGUACCGGAUAAACACUGUGAAGGCUCAGAGUGCAUAGGAACCAAGCGGGGAGAAUCGAAGUGGUGGGGACUCUGGGGGGGACCGAGGGUGAUGAGGAGCCCCAAAGGAAGAUAAGCUGAGCAGAGAGCUGAGGGAAUCUCUUCUGUUCUCUCAAGACCCUAAAAGGCUGCAGCUGGUCCUUCACUUUAGUCUACUGAGUGGACUAAAGUGGAGUGGUGAGAUUGUGGAGUCAGAGACAAGUCUAGCUCUGCCCUCAUCACACACGUGCUGGAGCAUAUUAACUGGGUCCCUGCAGCUUCUUCUUAAGCAUUAGGAUGGUAACGGGUUCAGCCUUUGCGUUAGGAGAAUACAACUAGAUGAUCCAGUCAGGUGGUCAGGUCACGUUUAGUGUAUGGCAAAUAAAACAUUGGCAGUGCAUAUAUAUAAUCUUAGCACUUGGGGAGACUUAGGGCAAGCUGUGUCCAAGGCCAGCCUUGGCUACACACAGACACUGUCUCAAAAAAAACCAAAAAAACC
rnacentral:lncRNA from 1 species